AAAGAAAAUGCUGUAAUGCCUGUAAGGCUGGAUCUCAAAGGAUAAAAAGGAAUAAAGCUUGAAUAAUUUUUUUACUCCAAGUCGGGAGCCGGAAACCCUGUUUCUUUGUUUGCCAAUCAGUACACCUGAGGACCCAGGCUCAGUGCUUUGUUUUCAGGCUUCCACGAGGAGAGGUUGUGCUGGACGUUUGGAUUCUAAAAACAGAUCUUCAAGCUGACGAUGUGUAAGUGGUGGGAGCUGAGGAGUUCCAGAAUAUCUUCUUUUGAUUGCACUUGAAGGUGAAGCAGAACAUGAACUGAUAUCAAAGGUUUCCCGAGACCUCUGUAAGAAGAGACAUUAGGUUUACAUUAUACUUUUUCAGAAAAACUAGAAGAGUUCAUUUUAAUAAAUAAAUAACUAAACCACGAGGAAUAUAUAUCGUACAUACAAAAAUAAAUUCAUA